rnacentral:rRNA from 1 species
UACAGAGGUCUCAAGCGUUUGUUCGGAUUCAUUGGGCGUAAAGGGUGCGUAGGUGGCGGGGUAAGUCAGGUGUGAAAUUUCGGAGCUCAACUCCGAAACUGCAUUUGAUACUGCCUUGCUUGAGGACUGGAGAGGAGACUGGAAUUCACGGUGUAGCAGUGAAAUGCGUAGAUAUCGUGAGGAAGACCAGUGGCGAAGGCGGGUCUCUGGACAGUUCCUGACACUGAGGC